rnacentral:sRNA from 1 species
CCUAGGCCACUCGCGGGCGGGCAUCCAGGUAUCCUAGAAUUCUGGACAGGGGGUGGGUGUGGAACUUCUUCAAGCUGGGGCAGGUUUCAGGGUCUGGAAAAAGGGAAGGGCACAGCUUGAGAGUAGAUAAUGUUUAUCAUCUAAAGGAUAUUUCACAAACAAAAAAUUGAAAGGAAAUUUAGGUAAGCAGCAGGAGGGAUUUAAGUUAGACUAAGAGGGAACUUCCCCUUGAGACCAAAUCAUAGAGUGGGUGUGAAAACUUUGAGGGCAGGUGCGAGCUUUGGCUACUGUCCAGGGAACACUCUGGACAGAGAGAGAAAAGAGGGGGAAGGCCUCAGAGAGUCUCUAGAGUAAUAUUCUCUGGAGUGUGAGUGGACCAAGGGCUUGGGGAGGAAGGGCCAUUUAGGGUAAAGAAGAAUCCAUGGAGGUGAAAGCCAACCCUGCUUGUGAAACAGAUUUCAUUUUCUGCUUGCUACAUUUGGGGCUGCAAAGAACCCAGAAACCUGAAAUGCUCCCAACUGGCUGGAAAUCUCAGCUUCCUGUGGUGCUCUGACACUCUCCUGUAUAGAAUUUCAACAUCUUCUGAGAUUUGAAGACACUUGAUGGAAAAUGUUGUAGAGAGUUCACACCAUCCAUAGUCAUUGUACUGGGAGAGAGAAGGAAGCAAAUGGGCAGGAACAUUGAUUACGGGCUUCCGCAUGGUUUCCAGUGACAGCACAGACCACAAACAUGCCAUCCAGCUACAGAAGAAACAAAGACCCAGACAAGGCCCUCAGAGGCAGCCUGGACCACUAGCAUCAACAUGGCCUCAGGUGACAGUGUAGCGCACUCACCUCAAUAUGAUCCCUGGUAGCAACACUGCUCAUAGAUAACAUGGCCCCAGGAUGCAGCAUAGAGAAAUCUGAGACCUGGGACCCAGACAUGGCCCUUGGCAGCAGCAUGAUCUGGACAUCACCAUGGCCCCAGGUGUCAGUGCAGACCACCGAUACCAAAAUGGCCCCUGGUGGUAGCAUGGCCAUGGACAUAAAUACAUCAUCAGGUUGUAGCACGGAGCAUGCACAUCCUUAUAGCCUUGGAUGGUAACACAGACCACAGACCAACAUGGCCUUGGUCAUAUCAGGACUCACUCAUGGCACUUAGCAGUAGUACAAACCUUAUGCCUCAACAUGGCCUUAGGUGGCUACACAAGCCAUUCACAUCAACACUUCUCUCUUCAAAUGGGCUUCAAUUAGCAGCAGACUGCAUAUGUUCACAUGGAUUAUCUUUAUAGAUCUGGGGGAGAAGUUUUAUUUUGUUCAUUUAUUUGUUUUUUUUUUGUGUGUGUUUGUUUUUUUGUUUUUGUUUUUGUUUUUCAAGACAGAGUUUCUCAGUCCUAGCUGUCUUUGUAUUCACUUUGUAGACAAGGCUAACCUUUAGGGACCCUGUUAAUCAUCUGAUGUAUUUGAAACCAUAUUAUGAUGGUUAGUUUUAAUUUUCAAGUGUACACAGCCUAGAAUUACCUAGGAAAAUUGUCUAAAUGAGGAGUUUAAUUUGGGUUGGCCUAUGGGCAUGUGUGUAGAAUAUUGUCUUAAUUAAGAUAAUUUUAUGAGAAGGCCCAAUGCAGUAUGGGGGGCUCCAUUGCCUAAACAAGGGUCUUGGUCUGUAUAAGAGUAGAAAAAUCCAAGUCAGCAAACUUGUACACCAAUACUUCUGCAGCUUUUGACUGUGAAUGUGAUGAGACCAGCUCUUUGAAGUUCCUUCCUUGAUUUCCCCAUGAUGAUAGACUGUAAUCUGAAAACAUAAGCUAAAUAAACCCUUUUCUCCAUAUU